UGAUUUGCAUGACCUGGACUUGACCUGGA
rnacentral:piRNA from 1 species